CCUACGGGUGGCUGCAGUGGGGAAUAUUGGACAAUGGGGGCAACCCUGAUCCAGCCAUGCCGCGUGUGUGAAGAAGGCCCUCGGGUUGUAAAGCACUUUCAGUGAGGAAGAACGCCUGGUGGUUAAUACCCAUCAGGAAAGACAUCACUCACAGAAGAAGCACCGGCUAACUCCGUGCCAGCAGCCGCGGUAAUACGGAGGGUGCGAGCGUUAAUCGGAAUUACUGGGCGUAAAGCGCGCGUAGGUGGCUUGAUAAGCCGGUUGUGAAAGCCCCGGGCUCAACCUGGGAACGGCAUCCGGAACUGUCAAGCUAGAGUGCAGGAGAGGAAGGUAGAAUUCCCGGUGUAGCGGUGAAAUGAGUCGAGAUCGGGAGGAAUACCAGUGGCGAAGGCGGCCUUCUGGACUGACACUGACACUGAGGUGCGAAAGCGUGGGUAGCAAACAGGAUUAGAUACCCUAGUAGUC
rnacentral:rRNA from 1 species